rnacentral:rRNA from 1 species
AGUGAACGCUGGCGGUAGGCCUAACACAUGCAAGUCGAACGGCAGCACAGUAAGAGCUUGCUCUUACGGGUGGCGAGUGGCGGACGGGUGGGGAAUACAUCGGAAUCUACUUUUUCGUGGGGGCUAACGUAGGGAAACUUACGCUAAUACCGCAUACGACCUACGGGUGAAAGCAGGAGAUCUUCGGACCUUGCGCGAUUGAAUGCGCCGGUGUCGGAUUAGCUAGUUGGCGGGGUAACGGCCCACCAAGGCGACGAUCCGUAGGUGGUCUGAGAGGAUGAUCCCCGACAGUGGUACUGAGACACGGACCAGAAUCCUACGGGAGGCAGCAGUGAGGAAUAUUGGACAAGGGGUUAGCGCCUGAUCCAGCCAUCCCGCGUGAAGGACGACGGCCCUAUGGGUUGUAAACUUCUUUUGUAUAGGGAUAAACCUACUAUCGUGAGAGUAGCUGAAGGUACUAUACGAAUAAGCACCGGCUAACUCCGUG